GUACUGCAGAGUCCUAUCGCAUUCCAGUAGUUGUCAACGUCGACAGAGGGUCUCUAUUUGAGAAGGAAAGUAUUUACAGCAAGUUAUAAUUGUUCGCAAAGCAUCAAAAGAAUCCGUAAUAUUGUUACAGAAAAAGCCUAAGAUGAUGACAAUCGUGGUAUUAGUUGUCAUAUGUGCAUGCUGUUUUAAAGAUUCUUUAGCCAGUCAUAAUCCAUAUACACCAACUGAAUACCAGACGAAGAUUGCUCAAGGACUUUCCACGAACUAUUUCAAAACCCUCAAUUUCAAUAAGUACAACAGAAAAAACUUAGAUGAUGUUUACGAACGAGGUUUCAGGAAUUUACGAUUAAGAUGUAGAGCAGAGCUUAAUAAUUUGAACAUGACCGUCUUUUUAAACAAUUUAGAGACUGUCGUGGACGAUUGUCUUGCUACGGACAUUGCUCCAAUAGUUUCUUGGAUCCAUCACGAAGCCGAAGCCUUCGCUACUGAAUCACAUCGAAUAAAAUAUUUGGAGUGGUGGACAAGUGUUGCAGAAAAGUUGAAAGAUAAAGACUAUAGACUUUCAUUCAAUCUAUUUACAGAACUGGGAGUCGACUCAUGUGGAAAUGCAUGCGCAGAAAGUCUCAGAGAAAACACAGCAAAAUACAACGAUUGGACAUCUGCUGUCGUAAAAAAGAUAAGAGAAUCCGGCGGUAAAAAUGAUAAACGUAUCGUUAUUCUAGGUUCUCCAAAGAAAACAGCAAAGGGGUUAGAAGAAAUAGACCAAAAUAUUUAUAAAAACGAUCAUUAUAUGAUGGCAGAGUGGCAUAUCUAUGCAUCCGGACCAAAUAAAAAACUAAAAAAACAACGGAAAUCCAGGUCAAAAAUAUUGGGAUGGGACUGGCGACCAUUUCGGAAAAAGCAAUGUCAUGACUGCUAUCGGAUAUGCCAACUAUUUUACAUCAUUUUACAAUUUGACCACUUAUCUUGGUGCUUGGAUGCCACAAGCUAAUGAAAACGGGGACUUGAACCAAACGGAAAUCAUUAAUUUUGGAAAAUAUUUUGUCCAAGUAAUCAAACCGAUCCCUUGGUCUAUGAAUGUUCUUGAUACAUACUACGAUACAAAGAACAGCGAUUGGAUAUUAGAUAAACAGUUUAUCAAAGGUCAGUCAUUGAAUAUGUCACGUGUUCUGGAUGAAAUUAUAUCGGUUAUGUAAUGUAUUCAAAGAAAAAUACCUUCUUCCAUGGUACUAUCGUGCUCAUCAAUAAUAUGAACAUGUAAGACAUUUAAUAAAAACUGUAUCGUUUAUUCAACAUUGAAAAAACUGUCCGAGGAAUUUUGAAAUACUGAUAAGAAAUGAAGUUCCUGUCAUAUGAUAAUGAACAAAAAACUAGAAAUACGAGAUGUGCAGUAUUUUUGAAUAGCAGAAAUUUUCAAAACGAAAAUGAUCUAUCGAUCUAGUAAGGUACCUCAAAGGUUCUGCAAUUUUUUUAAACAAAUAAAGGCUUUUUUUACAUCCACUAAAUGAUGCAGUAUUGUUCUAAUGUAUUUUCAUGAUAUUUAGCUCCUCUCAUAUAAGAUUUAUUUCCAUAAUGUUAAUGAAUGUUUUUUCGUAUCAUAUAAUGCAGGUGGGGAUAUUUUUAGAUAAAUUAUGUUAUUUCUCUGCAUAUUAUUACUUACUUAAAGUGUAUUUGGUUACAAUGCGGUUAUUGUGUUUAAAUUAUAAAUGUAAAUAAUUUUAUUUCUGCAGUAAAAUACUAUUUUCAAUCAGAUUUUAA